UUCAAUUUCAUCCUCAAUUCUAAUUUGUUAUAUAGAUAUUUUUCAAUUUGUUCCAUCUUCUUUUGAUUUCUAGUUUUUUCUUUGGCUCUUUUGUUAGGGUUUUGAUGGUUUUCAAUUUCAUCCUUCAAUCUAAGUUUGUUAUAUUUUUUUUCUAAUUUGGUCCUCAUAUUUUUAAUUUUUUUUUAAUUUUGUUAUUUUUUUGUUUUCAAUUUAACCUUAUGAUAAAAGAAUUGUUUGUGCCUUCUAAUUUAUUUAUUUUUACCCUCAUUCUUUUAAUUACUUUAUUUUAUUUUCAAUCCUUUCAUUUAAUUGGGUUUUUUUUCCCCGAUUUCAUCAUUUGGCAUUUGAUUUGUUGAGAAUUUAACUUCUCG
rnacentral:lncRNA from 1 species